UUAAAAAAAAAAAAAGAAUUAGGCGAUUCUCGCAAACAAGCUAUGGCGAGGUUUCUUAAUCUUGAGAAAAGGUUCGCUACAAAUAACGAGUUAAAACAACAAUAUGUGCAAUUUAUGAAAGAAUAUUCAGAAAUGGGCCACAUGGAAAAAGUAAGUGAAAAUAAAUGCGGAAAAUACUAUUUGCCACUUCAAGCAGUGAUUCGAGAAGACAGUAGAACGACUAAACUACGAGUAGUUUUCGAUGCGUCUGCAAAAACUACAAAUGGAAGUAGUUUAAAUGACAUCCUCUUCAUAGGACCGAGACUUCAAAGAGAUAUAUUUGACAUUAUAAUCAAAUGGAGACUUUGGCAAUAUGUAUUAACUAGUGAUAUUGAAAAGAUGUUUCGACAAAUUAAAAUAACAGAUAGUGAUCAAGAUUACCAACGUAUAUUGUGGAGAGAAACAAAAGGAGAGCCGAUAGAAGAAUACAAACUACAAACAGUUACAUAUGGGACAGCAUCAGCUCCUUUUUUGGCAACGAGAACUUUACAAGAAAUUGCCAAACUAUGCGAGCCCCACAACUAUUUGCUUUCAAACAUCAUUAAAAACGACUUCUACAUGGACGAUUUAAUGACAGGAGCAGAUUCAAUAGAUGAAUGUAAGGCCAUUCAGUAUGAAAUAUCGAAACAACUACAAAAAUAUGGAUUUCACUUAAGGAAGUGGAUGUCAAACAACAGUGAAAUCAUAGCAACAAUUCCGGUAAAUAACGCGAAUGAAGUAAUAAAAAUAGCAGAAGACGAAACAAUAAAGACAUUGGGUAUUCAAUGGGAUCCUACCAAAGACAUGUUUGGAUUUAAUACGAAUCUUUCAACGCAAAAGCUGGUUACAAAAAGACAAGCUUUGUCUGAUUUAGUGCGAAUUUUCGACCCAAUGGGAUGGCUUUCACCAACAACCGUUAUAGCAAAGUUAUUUAUACAGAAACUUUGGUUGAUGAAACUCAACUGGGACGAGUUACUUGACGAGAAUUUAACAAAAGAAUGGCAAGAGUUUAUGCAGCAUAUACCAGAGAUAAAACGAAUAAAAAUUCCUAGAUGGUUUGAAACUAAAAACAACUUUAAAUUUGAACUACAUGGAUUCGCAGAUGCUUCAGAGAAAGCUUAUGCAGCAGUUGUAUAUACUAAAGUUGGAUCAGUUAUAACAAUUGUUGCUGGUAAAACUAAAGUGAAUCCAAUUAAAAAUAAGAAAACGUUACCAAAACUGGAACUAUGCGCGGCUCACCUACUUGCUAAAUUGCUGCAAAGGAUAAAAACAGUCAUCAACAGAGAAAUGAAAAUAUUUGCUUGGAGCGAUUCAACUAUAACGUUAGCAUGGAUAAAUAAUUGCCAAAGUAAAGACAGAUUUAUUAGAACACGAAUAGAAGAAAUCAAAUUACUUGUUUCCAAUGCGACAUGGCAACACGUUGGAACAAAGGACAAUCCAGCUGAUGUAGCAACCAGAGGGGUACUGGCGAACAAACUAAUAGAACACGAUCUAUGGUGGAAGGGACCAAAAUGGUUGCGAGAAGAGGAACAUCAUUGGCCAAUAAAGAAGAUUAUUCAAAUCGAUGCAACGUAUGUGACAACCUCAGGGGAAUUACAUUUCUUGGAUAAGGUAACACUUAAAUAUUCUAGUUUAAGCAAAUUAAUAAGGGUAGUAGCUUAUAUUUUGCGAUUUGUAAAAAGAAUAAGAGGGAAAAAAUGCCCUGAAUACUUAGUUAAAUCUGAAAUGAAGGAAGCUGAAGAAAUGUUAAUAAGAUAUCAGCAAAAAUUACAAUUUAGAGAGGAAAUUCAGAGUUUAGAAAUAAAAAAAGAAAUUAAUCAUAAAAGUAGCAUUGCAAGCUUAAAUCCAAUUUUGGAUAAUAAGGGAAUCCUUCGUGAGGUAGAUUGGGUAAUUCAAAUCUUCAAUUUAAUCAAAAGCACCCAAUAAUAUUAAAUAAGUCACAUUUGUCAUCAUUGAUAAUUGAAAAUAUUCAUAAAAUAACUUUACAUGGAGGAAACAAGUUAAUGGAAUCAAUGAUUAGAAGGAAUUACUGGAUUGUUGGAUUGAGGAAUUCUAUUAAAAAGACAAUUCGAACUUGUAGUAGAUGCGUACGUUACCGCAAAGAAGUAGCAAAACAAUUAAUGGGAAAUCUUCCAGAAUUCCGAGUAUCUAUUUCAAUUCCAUUUAUACACGUUGGUAUAGACUAUGCAGGACCGAUUCAUAUGAAAUGUUCAAAAGGACGAGGACAAAAAACAUUUAGAGGAUAUAUAGCUGUAUUUGUUUGUAUGGCAACAAAAGCUAUUCAUUUAGAAGCAGUAAGUGAUUUAACAACCGAAGCGUUCCUAGCUGCUUUGAAAAGAUUUUUUGCUAGAAGAGGUAAAAGUCAACAUAUAUAUUCGGACAAUGGAACAAAUUUUGUCGGAGCUUGUAGAAGAUUAGACCGAGAUUUUAAAAUGGCAAUAAAAAAUAAUUCAGCCGUAGCUCCCAUAUUAGAAGCAGAUAAAAUUCAAUGGCAUUUCGGGCCCCCGGCAGCUCCUCACUUCGGAGGAAUUUGGGAGGCAGGAGUGAAGUCGGUGAAAUAUCAUUUAAAAAGAGUGAUAGGCGAAACUAAAUUGACAUUUGAAGAAAUGAUUACUUUGCUAUCACAGAUUGAAGCAAUACUGAAUUCACGACCUUUAUGUGCGAUAGAUAGUGAAAGCGAUAUAGACGUUUUAACGCCUGGCCAUUUUUUAAUAGGAUGUCCAAUAAUAGAUUGUCCUGAAGCAAUUAAUGAUAACCAAAUAGGUUCAUUAGAUAGAUGGAAAUUAAUACAAAAACUUAAAAAAGACUUUUGGAAACGAUGGGAAAGCGAAUAUGUUGUAAUGUUGCAACAACGCAUGGAAAACCAAACAAGCUAAUCUCGUACAAGGACAAAUAGUUAUUAUUAAAGAUGAAGAAACUCAUCCAGCCAAAUGGCCAUUAGGAAAAAUUAUUGAAACUCAUCCGGGAAAGGAUGGAAAUAUAAGAGUUGUAACUCUAAAAUUACAAAAUGGCAUACUUAAACGGCCCGUUUACAAAUUAUGCCCACUGGAGGUAACAAACAGCAGUAGAGCAGAGGAAGCAAAUCAUGUGACAAGUUUGCUGACUUCGAGAAUAACAAAAAAUACUGCAACCUCAGAACGACCGAGUAAAUCAAGCAAAUUGAUGAUGUGGUUCUUAACGAUACUCAUGCUAGCAACACAAACUAAGUCACUAUACAUUAAUAAUACAUCUAAAUCAGGAGCUUCAGUGACUAAACUAAAAAAUAAUACAGCAAUAUAUUUGGAACCGAUUAGUAAAAUGGACAUAAUAAAUUCAAAAUGGAAUUUAAUAGUCUAUUACGAAUUAGGUACUUAUUAUGAUCGGAUGCAUAAAAUACAAGAAUUUAUUAACAGACUUGAAAAUCAAUGCAAAAUAUUGACCUAUUACGAAGAUGCCUGCAUAAUGAUUACUGCAACUUUAAAUGACAAAUAUAAUAGUCUUAAAGCAAAUAAUGAAUUGUUUAUGAAAAAACAAAAUAGAAAAAAGCGAGCACCAUUCGAAUUCGUUGGUUCAAUUUACCAUAUAUUAUUCGGAAUUAUGGAUGCUGAUGACCGAGAAAAUAUGGAAUCAAAUAUUAGAAAUAUUUUCGACAACCAAAAAGAUAUAGCAAAAUUGUUUAAAAGGCAGACAUCGGUAGUUGAUUCUACCAUACAUAUAUUAAAAAAGACAACAGAUGAAGUUAACCGUAAUUUUGAGAAAAUGAGUCAACAACUAAAUAAAUUUUAUAACGAACUAAUAAAAGAUCAAAAUGCUGAACGAAUGACCUUGAUGUUUCAAAUAUUAACCAUUUCAAUAGGAAUAGUUAUGGACGAAUGUGAAGAAAUCCAAACUUCAAUAAUUAAUCUUCUAAUUGACAUAAAUCAUGGUCGCAUAAAUCCAAAACUAUUAAAGCCUUCGCAACUUAAUAAAGAAAUUGAAUUUAUUAGAAACAAACUACCACACAAAUUAAUACUACCUGGAAGACAAUCGGGUAACAAAUUAAAAGAAAUUUAUAAAUCGAUGACUGCUAAAGGUUUAAUUGUUGAUUCACGGGUAGUCAUAAACCUAGAAAUUCCCUUAAUAUCGUAUGAACCGUCAAACGUAUAUAAAUUAAAUCCACUUCCAAUAAAUUACAAAGGGAAUAUGAUUAUUCCAGAAAUAAAGGCAGAAUAUUUAAUAUACAAGUUUGAUUUGAAUCAAUAUUCACUUAUAAACCAAGUAGAUCUAGAUAAAUGUUCUACUAACUCAGAGAAUCAUUACCAAUGUCCUGGAAAUUUAGCUUGGAAAUCAGCGACGGAUAAUUCAUGUGAAGUAGCAGCUUUAAAACAAUUAGAAAAUGAAGCAUGUGAUUUCAAACCUUCUACAAAUGAAAACGUUUGGAUAAAAUUAUCUUCUCAAAAUCGGUGGCUUUACAAAUUAUUUAGCAAAGCAAUGAUAUAUCUAGAAUGUGAUAAUAAUCAACAAAUGCAUAUAGAAAUCCCUAGUCAAGGCGUUAUGAUAAUAAGAGAAGGAUGCACAGUCCGGCAUGAAGGAGUAACUGUAACAGCAUCUCAUCACAUACAAUCUGAAAUUAAAAAAGAAUUGCUAUCCUCUUCUUGGGUUAAAGAUAUUGAAGAUAUUCCAGAACUACAAAUAAAACCUUUUGAUUCAACAUUAAUAAACAAUACCAAAGAUAUCGUACAUCUUAAACAACAAAUAGAACUCCUCAAAACAGAAAAUAUAAAAUUAAAAGGUAUAAAUUUUCAUCACGUAAGUGGUCACGUUUCGCUAACAUUAGUUUUGAUAAUAGCAUUAAUCAUUACUAUUUUAUAUAUAAGAUCCAAAUGUGUAACGAGAACUGUGACUGUUCCAUUUGAACUUCCAGUUAGACAUAAUUAAAAAAUAUUAAUAAUAAAACAUAAUAUACAAGUAAAGUUAAGAUACAACUUUGGCCCCUGGCAGAAUGUUCAUAAAGAUAUGAACAUGAAAGUUUUGUAACCUUAAGAUAUAAUUAUAUAUACAAAAUUAUAUUUUUGACACAACUACAUUAAUACAUAAAAAUAUACAUGUAAACAAUAAAUUAAAUAAAAAGUAUAUACAGUCCACUAAAUGUCAAGUGCAAUGGUAAGCAACAAAAAUGUAAUAUGAGACUUGCUCAUAAAAAUGUGAAAAUCAUUGCACAUAAAAGAAAACUCAUAAAUUAGAGUAUACAUAAUACUAAUAUUAAAAUACAAAAUAUACAUACUCGAAAUAUUAAUGCACACAAGCAACAGAUAAGAAAGUAUCAAGCGUGUGUACGUAUGUGUAUAAGUGCGUUAGAUGCACUAAUCUAAAAAACUAUAAAAUAUCAAUGCGUUGGUAUCUGAAAAAUGCAAUAAAAAUAUAAUACAUAUUUACAAAUGUGUAUGCACACUAAGCAUACACACAUAUACAUAUAUACAUAGUUAAGAAAUUAGAAUUAAGAAAUGUAUUGAGGGAAGAAAUUUUAAUAAAGAAAACCAGAGUCAAAAGUGAACUCUCACAGUACAGACUUUGGCAAAGACUGUCUUAAUCUGUACAUUGAUUCUUAUGUAAAAUUGAACGAGGAAUCGAAUGGAAAAUUUUCAAAAAAAGUUGCUGGAAAAGCACAAAACCCUUGUUUUUGUAUUUUGAAUUUUUUUUUUUUGAUUUUGAAAAUAUUUUUAUCAGAAAGCUGAGAGUUUUUUACAUAAAAUCAUAUAACUUCAAAAUUUUUUGCACUCAAUUUUCAGGUCGUUAAAAAGUAAAAGAAAUGGUAACGUUUUGUUUGAUCGGAAUACGGGUACAAAACCAUGUCGCCAAUUGAUGGAAUGGCCCGUAUACAUUAGCUCAACCGACAAAUACUCAAAAUUUUGCCACUUUAGACAAAUACCUUCAAGAAAAGAUACAUACAAAUACGUCGACGAGAUACUUUCACAAACAUACCCAAUAGCAAAAUUUUUAAUCAUUGAUAACGACUUAACAUUUACCAGCAUCUGUGCACAAUAAAUUUAUUAACGACUAAAAAUAACGCACACCAAAGCGCCAGCGUUCCAUUCUACUACAAAUGGACAACUUGAGCGUACACACAGUACAAUUAUUGAACUCGCGAAAGUUUUGGCUGAUCAGAAUAAUUCAGCGCCGGAAGAUCAAAUUUUUGAAGCUGUUCGGCAGUACAACAAAAGCUUUCAUUUCGUAACCAGCGAGGAACCCGAUCACGUAUUUUUUAAUCAAAGGGGUUAUCCCGACAUCCAAGAACGGCCAGGAAAGAGUUUUGCGACAUCAUAAUCGCAAUCGACAUCAUCUGGCCUAUAAUCAAGGAGACGUGAUAUUUUCGAAAACGCACAGGCGUUAUAAAAACGUAAGGAAAUACGCGAAAUAUAUUGUAAAAAAAAGACAACGGUAUGACAGUGACGACCGAUAAAGGACGGAUUAUUCAUAAAGAUAACAUUAGAGUAAAGGCAUGUACAGAAUAAUUGAAACUCUCGAUCCGAAAGCAAUAAAUGAGAACUUAAUCAUAGCAGAGAUUUAUAAUUAAUUUUUAACAGUAACAAGUACUUUUAUUUUUGCAAAAAACGAAAAAUUUUUACUCUGGCAAACUUAAUUCGAACGAUGUGCAUGAAUUAAUAAACCACGAGGAGUUGGAUCUUCCACUAAUUAAUAUAUUGGAAUAUUCUGAUAUACAUAUGUAUUUGUUACCUAGAACAGGCUAUAAUUACAAUUUACAAAUACCCAAUACUCGAAACUUAAUGUAGAUUAUUUAAUGUAUAUCCUUCAUCACAAAAGCAUGGUAAAAUUAAUUUAGAUCCUAAGAUAGCAAAAUGCAAUAAUUAUCAAAGAGCUUCAAAAUGUAAGAAUUUUUUCAGUAAUUUUAUUUGUAAAUUAGAACCCUCUGAUAAUUGUACUAUCAAAAUAUUAAACGAUAAAUCAGCACAAUGUGAAACAAUCCAUGAUAAUAACGCUCCACUCCAAUUCUUAGAAACCGGUCACAUCUUGACAGAUUAUGAGCAUUCUGAGAGUAAUAUGCCUAUAUCUGGUCGCUGAGUUAUUUGAGAUCGAAAUGAACCGUUUAGAACAACAGCAAUUAGCAACAAAGUAGCUAGGGCGCUCUAUUUUAAGAAGUAGGGGAGUUAGCGACGCCGAAAAUAGCCUAAAUAAAUAUCGCAUUUAACCUAAACAAACAUGAAAAUUCCCGAAUCCAAAGUGCAGCAGACAAAAUGCGAUAAGAGAUAGAUAAGUGUAACAAAAGUAUAAAUAGCUGUAAGAUUGUAAAAAGUAAGCAGUAAAGAAAUAUCAAUAAAACAGGCAACACGAAAAUAAAUGCACUGCCCAAAAAUAAUAUCUUUUACUCAAAACAAACUAACUGUUUGUUAACUAGCGCAUUGCGAUCGAUUUCCAUGACAGCCUGUUCAACGAUACCGGAAUUGACCCGGAUUUUAUCCGGCCAAGGAUUGUCAUUUCGACGAUCUAACCUCGCUUGGAUCGGUAUAUAACAUGUUAACAUUGUCAUCAUUAGAGCAACACCUAGCAGUAGGGUUGCACCGUAUUCACCUGAUUCGCACUGGUAUUGAGUUCAACCCAGACCCGGAGGAAAUUUCUGCUGCGUUUACUCAACAAGGCUUCACCAUAACUACAUUUCAAUUAGAUGCAAAACACGCAGUGGUUGAAGCCAUCGUCAGAACUGCUCUAGCUAUCAUACUCAUAGGGAGUGGUCCACUCGUUAUGUGGCUCCAUGCUGCCAACGCACCAAUGCGGCCAAUACCUCAACGGCUGUGCAAGAUGCACCCACUUUGCGCAAUACCCCGUUACUCCAACCUAGUGACCGACAAGGAACCUCUACGGUCCAAAGGAGCUCUCAUAUGGUGACGCAAUCUUUGGUACUCCUGCCUAUCAAACAUUCGUAGGGGGAUGCUGGAGCUGCCGGAACAGAUAGACGAUCAACCUGGCACCAUUCAACAAUAAUAUAAAUGGCGUUACUGAUCCUGGUAUUAGGCGAACGGAGUUGGUGGAAAAUGGAUUGCUUCCAUCAGUGUUUUUGGGUAAUGCAAACUGCGCAGCAAACAUGGUGGGGCAUGGACGAUGACACCAUCUGAUGAGUCGGCCUUAGGAGUUUUCGAGAGAAAUUUUCUGCGAAAGAUUUAUUAUCAUUUCGCGUUGGCCACGGCGAAUAUCGCAUUCGAUGGAACGAAGGCAGCGGCUGCGCUGGCUAGGUUAUGUCGUACAUAUGGACGUAAACACCACCACCUUGCGAAAGAAGGAACGACUGGUGCGCUGAUGUUAACUCGGCUAUAAUCGCGUAAGCGGUGUCUACGCCAGUAAAGAUUUGACAACGAGGAAGUUGCAACAAGUACUUUGAAGGUGCUAGUGAGAGUCCGGCUGGACAUGGAAGGAGAAAAAAAGAGAAAAAAGAAGUAAUUUCUGUGAAGCCAAGUUCUUCGAGAGAUGCAGAAAGUUCAAACAAAGGAACAGAUUGUUCGAAAGUUUCUGAAAUUAUUGACCACCUAUAAACGCGUCAAACAGCGGAAUAACCAACCCGACCGCAACGCUACUAUAUGGACAUUUUUAACGAACGGUAUAUGGCGAACGUCAUUCAAUCAAUUCACCACUAAAUAUUCUGCAAUCGUCGCUCCAAAAUACCUUCGAGGAAACUUUAACGGUAACGGAGGAUAAUGUAUGCGAUUCGCACAGUGCUGGCGCUAAAAAGGGAAAGUGGAUGCAGACAAAACAGACUUCCAGACUGAAUUAUUUUAAUUAAUACUGAUUUGUGGCAAUUAGCCAUUUUUUUAAUAAAAUUAAAACUUCUCUGCGUCAA